AUUGAACGCUGGCGGCACGCCUAACACAUGCAAGUCGAACGGCAGCACAGGGGAGCUUGCUCCCUGGGUGGCGAGUGGCGGACGGGUGAGUAACGCGUAGGAAUCUGCCCUAAAGUGGGGGAUAACUCGGGGAAACUCGAGCUAAUACCGCAUAAUCCCUAAGGGGAAAAGAGGGGGACCAGAAAUGGCCUCUCGCUUUUGGAUGAGCCUGCGUCAGAUUAGCUUGUUGGUAGGGUAAUGGCCUACCAAGGCGACGAUCUGUAGCUGGUCUGAGAGGACGGCCAGCCACACUGGGACUGAGAUACGGCCCAGACUCCUACGGGAGGCAGCAGUGGGGAAUAUUGGACAAUGGGGGCAACCCUGAUCCAGCGAUGCCGCGUGUGUGAAGAAGGCCUGCGGGUUGUAAAGCACUUUAGUUGGGAAAGAACGGGUUUAGGCUAAUACCUUAAACCUUUGACGUUACCCAAAGAAUAAGCACCGGCUAACUCUGUGCCAGCAGCCGCGGUAAUACAGAGGGUGCAAGCGUUAAUCGGAAUUACUGGGCGUAAAGGGCGCGUAGGUGGUUUGGUAAGUUAGGUGUGAAAUCCCCGGGCUUAACCUGGGAACUGCAUUUAAUACUGUCAAACUUGAGUAGAGUAGAGGAAAGUGGAAUUUCCGGUGUAGCGGUGAAAUGCGUAGAUAUCGGAAGGAACACCAGUGGCGAAGGCGACUUUCUGGACUCAUACUGACACUGAGGCGCGAAAGCGUGGGGAGCAAACAGGAUUAGAUACCCUGGUAGUCCACGCCGUAAACGAUGAGAACUGGAGGUUGGGACGCAAUAGCGUCUUAGUCUCGUAGCUAACGCGAUAAGUUCUCCGCCUGGGAAGUACGGCCGCAAGGUUA
rnacentral:rRNA from 1 species